UGCUGAAGAGUCUCACAAUAGGACGAAACGGUCGUCCA
rnacentral:hammerhead_ribozyme from 1 species